rnacentral:rRNA from 1 species
AAUUAACGCUGGCGGCAUGCCUAACACAUGCAAGUCGCACGAGGAAAGCCGGUUCGCCGGGCGAGUAAAGUGGCGCACGGGUGAGUAACGCGUGGAUAAUCUACCUCUUUCUGGGGGGAUAACGCACCGAAAGGUGCGCUAAUACCGCAUAACCCGGUUGAUUUUCGGAUUGACCGGUAAAGGUGGCCUCUUGAUCAAAGCUACCGGGAAGAGAUGAGUCCGCGUCCCAUUAGCUUGUUGGUGGGGUAAUGGCCUACCAAGGCUCCGAUGGGUAGCUGGUCUGAGAGGAUGAUCAGCCACACUGGGACUGAGACACGGCCCAGACUCCUACGGGUGGCAG